rnacentral:rRNA from 1 species
UACGGAGGAUGCAAGCGUUAUCCGGAUUCACUGGGUUUAAAGGGUGCGUAGGAGGGCAGGUAAGUCAGUGGUGAAAUCUCCAAGCUUAACUUGGAAACUGCCGUUGAUACUAUCUGUCUUGAAUACCGUGGAGGUGAGCGGAAUAUGUCAUGUAGCGGUGAAAUGCUUAGAUAUGACAUAGAACACCAAUUGCGAAGGCAGCUCGCUACACGAAUAUUGACUCUGAGGCACGAAAGCGUGGGGAUCAAACAGG